AUGCCUACUGACUUGAUUUCUGACGUCGGCUAUGAGAGCGUGAAAAGGCAUCAGGUUCCACGCGCACCAGGUGCUGAUAUUCGGUUGAAUAAUCAAAGAUCGAUACUCGGUGAUCGGACCAAUGUGGGGGCCAGCAGUAGUUAUGUACCUAUCGUGGAUGGUGUGAAACAGUGGACCCCUGGAUCAAACCGUCUAACCAAGAAAAAUAACAAAAGACCCCAUCUAGGAACGGCUCUACCUCUACCCAGCUCUCCGCUAGCAGUGGUGCAACAGCAGAUCCCGUAUAAAAAGGGACGCAAGGACACCGCACAUAGUGUUUUAACUCCAGAGAAUCUUAACUUGGUUCUCCAUGCUGUUAUAAACCCUGAAAUCGCCCGCCAAGGGGGUGGAUGGUCUGAGUCCAAACAGCCGUUGAUUGAGACAUCAGUUGUACCUGUGUCUGAGCCGCCUGCAGAGACCGUUACUGUACAGCCGGAUGGAGGCAUUCAGCAUGUCCUUGGAGACCCUCAGGAUGCACCACUACCAGAACUGACCGAUGAGGAUCUCGAGGGUCUUACCGACGUUCCGUUGUGGCCCUCAGCGCUGUUGGAACAGCUCGACUUCACUCCCGCUCAUUGGAUAGACCCUCCAGCUACUUCCGUAGUGGGUACCACCAGGGCAGAGCCUGUAAACCAUCAGCCUGCAGCCCCCGCCUCUGGAUCACGACCCAUCCUCAUCCAGGCCUCUAUCCACAAUCCACCAGGCACUGUGAGUCGUCCCACCGCCAUCGGAGCAGUGGCUACGCUGCUACCCGACGGCUCAGCGGCUGCUGCUGAAUACAUAGCGGGUGGUCCACUUACCAACUGUUGUAAGGCUUGUGUUGGUAAAUUAACCUUGGUAACUAAAGCAGUUGAUGUAAACUCCUUAACCAUUGGUCGUCAGUGUAAACUGGGUGCAUUGUCUGUGAAACGUAUUGACAGCAGAUUUCAGACUAUCGAAGAGCAAACUAAGCAGUCACUCGAGACCCUCGGGGAAAUCAAGGACGAGCUAGUGCGUUACGGUCUGGCUAUAGAAUCAAUACAGCAGCAGAUUUUGGUUGUCGAGGCAGCAGUGCGUGUUAACACUCUGGCUUUGGAUAGUGGGCUUCUGAUAUCUAAUAUGGCGCGGAAAAUUUGGCUAAUUGAAACUACGGCGCAGGAUAACAUCAGGGCCUACAAGGCCAUGUCUGCCCAGAUGACUAUCAUGAAUGAUGCUCUGGAUAUGCUUACGAUGAAUCGUUAG
rnacentral:lncRNA from 1 species